CACGCAUGCACAUGUCCGUCCAAGGACACGUGUCUGCGCACAUGCAUGUCCAUCCAUGCACACACGUGUCCAUCCAUGCACACGCAUGUCCGUCUGUGCACAUGCACGUCUGUCCACGCACGUGUGUGUCUGUCCAUGCACACACAUGUCCAUCCUUGCACACGCGUGUCCAUCCAUGUCUGUCCAGGCACACGCGUGGCCGUCAAUGCACACGCGGGUCCAUCCGUGCACACACGUCCGUCCGUGCAUGCACGUGUCUGUCCCUGCACACGCGUUUCUGCCCAUGCACACGCGUUUCCGCCCAUGCACCCACGUGUCCAUCCUUGCACACGCGUGUCCAUCCACGUACACGUGUCCAUGCACACGCGUGCCCUAAGGCUGGCUCUACCCCUACGUCUCCUCCGCGCCCCAAUUCUUCACCCUCCAAAACAAUAAACCCCGAAGCUGAUCGGGGCAGCGCUCGGGCUUCUCCCACCGCUCCGAAACCCCACGAAGGGACGCGGGAAGCGAAGAGGCGCCGGCUCCGGCCUCCCCGGGAAAGUUUCCGCGCCCCCGCUCCCCUCGCUGGCACCCACGCUCCGCUAAUCUCCGCCGACAAACAAUAUGAUGGAUAUGGUUUAUGGUAAUUCGCGAUGCCCUUUCCUGCAGAAUUUAACUCGCGAAAAGCAAAAGCUCCGCGCGGCUCCGCCGCUCUUUUCCCUUCUGCAGGCGUCGCCCCCGGAGGAGCUCACUCCCCCCGCAAAAAAAAGAAAGGAAAAAACCGCAAAACGCCGCGAAAAGGAGCGAUUUCAGGGAAAUCUUCGCCUUUCUCCGCGUCGCCGGCGGAGCAGGAGGAGCAGCGGGAGCGGCCGAUGUUCGCAGCCGCCGCCGGAUUUGGGCGAAGACGCCGCAGUUUGGCUGCAAAUCCGGCAGCUUUGGGAAGCGUUUCCUAGCUAAACUCGCGUUUCUUGCGCUCGGCGGGCUGGUAGGUGAACGGCGCUUUCGCGUCCCCGAGGCUCGGGGGCGAUUUUAUUCCCGUGGGUUUCUUGGUGUCCUGGAAAAAACCAGCCUGGUUGGUACUUCGGGAUCCAGGAAGGCCCUAAAAUCGCAUCGCGGUGGAAGGAAGCGGAGCCUCGCCGUGUGCGGAGCGGGAUUUAAGCAGCGCUUAAGUUCCCGACUUACUUUUAUUGUGCUGCUUGUUGGCUCUUUAGGAAACGAACUUUGCUGUUUUGGCAGAAUGAUGAUUCUCGGGGCGUUUCAGCAAGCGCGUUUCAUCAGCGAGGCUCUUCACCAUCCCAGCGUAUGUUUUAUGUAUACAUAUAUAUAUAUAUACACGCCGUUAUAUAGAUGUAUAUAAAAUCAGAGAGCCGCUCGCAUUGCACGGAGGAAAACCAAAAAAAAACUCACCAAAAUACUCCGAGGAGAGCUGGGGACUUGCAAUUUUUUACUCGCUUUGGAAACAGCUUUCUGUCUGAGCCGGGAUUUUAGAGCAAAGCGCAAGAAACCCUCUUCUCUCCUCCCUCUCUUCGUGUUUUAUUUUUUGUUGUUGUGGUUUUUGGGGGGAAAAGGCACCUAAAAAGCCGAAGUUGCUCGGCGGUGGCAGGAGGCAGGUCGCAGUUUUCCGACUUUCCCUCCUCCUUCCCCGCACGCGGAGAAACUCCGGUGAUUUUAACAUCCACUGCCGACCCGAACCGCUUAUUUUGGGAUGCGCCGAACACGCCUCCUUCCGCGCUCGCACGCUGCCAAUUUAAUCCGCUCGCUCUUUUAAAGCCACUUUUCUUUUAUUAUUUAAGGGAGGGGGGGAGCAAGAGGGAAAAAAAAAAACUUGGACGGGGGGAAGAAAGCCGAGUCCGUGUGACGGGUCGGAGCCACAUGGCGCUGCUUAAAACGUUCGCUUGGAGAUUCAUAAAAUAUUUAAAGCCAC